rfam:Schistosoma mattheei strain Denwood, Zambia genome assembly, scaffold: SMTD_scaffold0014246
AUCCAGCCGACGAAUCCUAUAUAGGACGAAACGCGCGUCCUGGAU